rnacentral:rRNA from 1 species
UGAGGAAUAUUGGGCAAUGCCCGAAAGGGUGACCCAGCAACGCCGCGUGGAGGAUGAAGGUCGUAAGAUUGUAAACUCCUGUUAGAGGGGAAGAAUAACUAAGUUUGGAGCUUAGUAUGACUGUACCCUCAGAGAAAGCCCCGGCUAACUACGUGCCAGCAGCCGCGGUAAUACGUAGGGGGCAAGCGUUGUCCGGAUUUACUGGGUGUAAAGGGCGCGCAGGCGGAAUGGAAGGUCAGUGGUGAAAUCCUACAGCUUAACUGUAGAACUGCCUUUGAUACUUUCAUUCUUGAGUUCGGGAGAGAGAGACGGAAUUCCAGGUGUAGUGGUGAAAUACGUAGAUAUCUGGAAGAACACCAGUUGCGAAGGCGGUCUCUUGGUCCGAUACUGACGCUGAGGCGCGAAAGCGUGGGGAGCAAAC